GUGGGGAAUAUUGGACAAUGGGGGGAACCCUGAUCCAGCCAUGCCGCGUGUGUGAAGAAGGCCUUUUGGUUGUAAAGCACUUUAAGCGAGGAGGAGGCUACCGAGAUUAAUACUCUUGGAUAGUGGACGUUACUCGCAGAAUAAGCACCGGCUAACUCUGUGCCAGCAGCCGCGGUAAUACAGAGGGUGCAAGCGUUAAUCGGAUUUACUGGGCGUAAAGCGCGCGUAGGUGGCCAAUUAAGUCAAAUGUGAAAUCCCCGAGCUUAACUUGGGAAUUGCAUUCGAUACUGGUUGGCUAGAGUAUGGGAGAGGAUGGUAGAAUUCCAGGUGUAGCGGUGAAAUGCGUAGAGAUCUGGAGGAAUACCGAUGGCGAAGGCAGCCAUCUGGCCUAAUACUGACACUGAGGUGCGAAAGCAUGGGGAGCAAACAGGAUUAGAAACCCUGGUUCC
rnacentral:rRNA from 1 species